UACGGAAGGUCCGGGCGUUAUCCGGAUUUAUUGGGUUUAAAGGGAGCGUAGGCCGGUCUUUAAGCGUGCCGUGAAAUUUUGUGGCUCAACCAUGAGAGUGCGGCGCGAACUGGAGACCUUGAGUGCGCGGAAGGCAGGCGGAAUGCGCGGUGUAGCGGUGAAAUGCAUAGAUAUCGCGCAGAACCCCGAUUGCGAAGGCAGCCUGCCGGCCCCACACUGACGCUGAGGCACGAAAGCGUGGGUAUCGAACAGG
rnacentral:rRNA from 1 species